UACGGAGGGUGCGAGCGUUGUCCGGAAUCACUGGGCGUAAAGCGUCUGUAGGUGGCUUUUUAAGUCCGCCGUCAAAUCCCAGGGCUCAACUCUGGACAGGCGGUGGAAACUACCAAGCCGGAGUACGGUAGGGGCAGAGGGAAUUUCCGGUGGAGCGGUGAAAUGCGUAGAGAUCGGAAAGAACACCAACGGCGAAAGCACUCUGCUGGGCCGACACUGACACUGAGAGACGAAAGCUAGGGGAGCGAAUGGG
rnacentral:rRNA from 1 species